ACGACCUUACUUGAACAGGAUCUGUUCUAUAGGCUCGUACCGUUGCAUCCUUUACCACAAAGGAAGCAAAGAAAAAAAACAGGGAAAAACAGUUUUACCUGCC
rfam:Oryza brachyantha chromosome 5, whole genome shotgun sequence.